rnacentral:rRNA from 1 species
GAUGAACGCUGGCGGCGUGCCUAAUACAUGCAAGUCGAGCGAACAGAUAAGGAGCUUGCUCCUUUGAAGUUAGCGGCGGACGGGUGAGUAACACGUGGGUAACCUACCUAUAAGACUGGGAUAACUUCGGGAAACCGGAGCUAAUACCGGAUAACAUUUAGAACCGCGUGGUUCUAAAGUGAAAGAUGGUUUUGCUAUCACUUAUAGAUGGACCCGCGCCGUAUUAGCUAGUUGGUAAGGUAACGGCUUACCAAGGCGACGAUACGUAGCCGACCUGAGAGGGUGAUCGGCCACACUGGAACUGAGACACGGUCCAGACUCCUACGGGAGGCAGCAGUAGGGAAUCUUCCGCAAUGGGCGAAAGCCUGACGGAGCAACGCCGCGUGAGUGAUGAAGGGUUUCGGCUCGUAAAACUCUGUUAUUAGGGAAGAACAAAUGUGUAAGUAACUGUGCACAUCUUGACGGUACCUAAUCAGAAAGCCACGGCUAACUACGUGCCAGCAGCCGCGGUAAUACUUAGGUGGCAAGCGUUAUCCGGAAUUAUUGGGCGUAAAGCGCGCGUAGGCGGUUUCUUAAGUCUGAUGUGAAAGCCCACGGCUCAACCGUGGAGGGUCAUUGGAAACUGGGAAACUUGAGUGCAGAAGAGGAAAGUGGAAUUCCAUGUGUAGCGGUGAAAUGCGCAGAGAUAUGGAGGAACACCAGUGGCGAAGGCGACUUUCUGGUCUGUAACUGACGCUGAUGUGCGAAAGCGUGGGGAUCAAACAGGAUUAGAUACCCUGGUAGUCCACGCCGUAAACGAUGAGUGCUAAGUGUUAGGGGGUUUCCGCCCCUUAGUGCUGCAGCUAACGCAUUAAGCACUCCGCCUGGGGAGUACGACCGCAAGGUUGAAACUCAAAGGAAUUGACGGGGACCCGCACAAGCGGUGGAGCAUGUGGUUUAAUUCGAAGCAACGCGAAGAACCUUACCAAAUCUUGACAUCCUUUGAAAACUCUAGAGAUAGAGCCUUCCCCUUCGGGGGACAAAGUGACAGGUGGUGCAUGGUUGUCGUCAGCUCGUGUCGUGAGAUGUUGGGUUAAGUCCCGCAACGAGCGCAACCCUUAAGCUUAGUUGCCAUCAUUAAGUUGGGCACUCUAGGUUGACUGCCGGUGACAAACCGGAGGAAGGUGGGGAUGACGUCAAAUCAUCAUGCCCCUUAUGAUUUGGGCUACACACGUGCUACAAUGGACAAUACAAAGGGCAGCUAAACCGCGAGGUCAUGCAAAUCCCAUAAAGUUGUUCUCAGUUCGGAUUGUAGUCUGCAACUCGACUACAUGAAGCUGGAAUCGCUAGUAAUCGUAGAUCAGCAUGCUACGGUGAAUACGUUCCCGGGUCU